CGCCUCUCCGCGCACGAACGGAGCUCUCCGAGCUGCAGCCUGUGUCCAGGCACCUGCUGCCGGCCUGUUGGCUGGGAGGGAAUCCCUAAUCCUGCAGUGGUCUCACUGAUGACAUCGAGCUUGGGAUCUCGCCGCCGUGGAGGAAGCGGACGCGCAGUGACAUGAUGUGACAGUCCAGGGGCCCAAGCGGGGAGACCAGCCGCCCCGAGGCCCCCGGCUGCUCCCAGAUGUUCAGCUAAAUGGGGUCGUGCUGGAUGAGGGUGGGCCUGGACCCGGUGACCGGAGCCCUUGUAAGAAGAGCGGGACGUAGACACGGACAGCCCAGGAGGAGCCCAAGUGACACCGGAGGCGGAGGACGGAGAGACAGGUGCACAAGCCCAGGGACGCCAGGGGGCACUGGACGCUGGGGCAGCGAGCGAGGGUCCUUGAGAGAGAACGCCACCUGCCCACACCGGGAUCUUGGGCUCCAGCCUCCAGAACUGCACGUCCGCUGUGCUAAGCUCCCAGCUGGUGGCCUUUGUUAGCGCAGCCCCGGGACGUGGCCACGCCCGCUGCCACCCACUUCCCUAGUGUGCCCGUCUCCUCCCAGCCCAACACGUGCGAGUGCAAGGCCGGCCUUCCUGCACAGCUUGUGGGCUUCCUUCCUUGGUGGGGGUAAAGCUGUCCUUUCAGGAAGGGAUGGCGGCCGGCGGUACCCCAUUUUACAGAAGGAAAAGCCAAGACUCUGGAGGGCUCCCCACAGCGCGCCGCCGCACGGCGCCUCACAGCCACGUCCCCUGCCGCCCGCCCAGCUCGGCCUCCUUCCUGCCCACAUGUUGGGCCGAGUCCUCAGAAUUCCCG